rnacentral:rRNA from 1 species
AGCGAACGCUGGCGGCAGGCCUAACACAUGCAAGUCGAACGAACUCUUCGGAGUUAGUGGCGGACGGGUGAGUAACACGUGGGAACGUGCCUUUUGGUUCGGAAUAACUCAGGGAAACUUGUGCUAAUACCGAAUGUGCCCUUCGGGGGAAAGAUUUAUCGCCAUUAGAGCGGCCCGCGUCUGAUUAGCUAGUUGGUGAGGUAACGGCUCACCAAGGCGACGAUCAGUAGCUGGUCUGAGAGGAUGACCAGCCACACUGGGACUGAGACACGGCCCAGACUCCUACGGGAAGCAGCAGUGGGGAAUCUUGCGCAAUGGGCGAAAGCCUGUCGCAGCCAUGCCGCGUGAAUGAUGAAGGUCUUAGGAUUGUAAAAUUCUUUCACCGGGGACGAUAAUGACGGUACCCGGAGAAGAAGCCCCGGCUAACUUCGUG